AGAUAAAGAGAAACACUCAAACAUAGGAAAAACACAGACAUCUCUUUUUUUCUCUCUUGCCGUCUCAUGUCCUCUCUCUCUACUUCUUUGCUACAUUCUUUCAAGUGAAGCCGAGAGUAGGAUAGGCGGCAAAGCAAUGGGAUCAAUCAGGGUCACGGUGACAUUGGAGUGCAUGAUUCCCGGAUGAGUCCAAAUGAUCUGCGUUUGAAACUGAUAAACAAAAGAAAGAUGAAGCGAAUUUCAAGGGUUUUUGAAGAGAGAAGGAAGAUGGACCAAAAGUCAAAAGUUGUCAAAAACUAUUCAGCAUUCAAGGCAUAACAUGCAGCAGCAAAGGUCUGAAUUAAAAGGACGUACUUUCUUGUGGCAAACGCCAGCCACAGAAAGACCUAGAUCCCCAAAUAGAAAUUUGAAAUCUUCUAGGGGACUCUCACCACAAAGAAAUUUCAAUGAGCUGCACCAAGUACCAUCGCUAAGGGCAGCUAAUAAUUCAAGAGCUGGAUGGUUUUUAAGCAAUGAUGGUACUUCUAGGCCAACAGGACCUUUAAUUGUCAAAGGUCCUGAUACUUCAGAGCUAGUCAUGUAGCUUACACCAAUAGGUGGCGUUGGGUAGAAAAGUUUUCAUUCGGUGGAAGAAUCUCACACUGUCACUAGCUUGUUGCAAUUGCUUGGUUUGGGGAAAUAUAACAUUCUCUUCCGGGCUGAAGAGGGACCGAGAAAGAAGAUUCUUCUUGCUCUGUGGCCUCGUUCUAGAUGAGAACAACCAUAGCUGCAAACAUUUAUUGCCUGCACUUUGGAGAGUAUUUGUUACAUCUGUAACUUAUAGCUUGAGUAAAUAUUGACAAGCAUGGGAAGUAUAAAGUAUUUUUUAAGUGGAGAUAUGAGUGUGUUGCUUUUCAAGAACCAGAAAUCUGUCUUGGAGAAAAAAAUGAAACGGUUUAUAUAUGUAAUGGCAUAUGGAAGAUUGUGCUAGUGAAACAUCUAACUAUUUGUUUAAUCAGCAUAAUUUUUUUCUCA